CCUACGGGUGGCAGCAGUGAGGAAUAUUGGUCAAUGGACGGAAGUCUGAACCAGCCAUGCCGCGUGCAGGAAGACGGCUCUAUGAGUUGUAAACUGCUUUUGUACAAGGGUAAACCUGAAUACGUGUAUUCCGCUGAAAGUACUGUACGAAUAAGGAUCGGCUAACUCCGUGCCCGCAGCAGCGGUAAUACGGAGGAUCCAAGCGUUAUCCGGUUUUAUUGGGUUUAAAGGGUGCGUAGGCGGAUUGAUAAGUUAGAGGUGAAAUGUCCGAGCUUAACUCGGGAACUGCCUCUAAUACUGUUGAUCUAGAGAGUAGAUGCGGUAGGCGGAAUGUAUGGUGUAGCGGUGAAAUGCUUAGAGAUCAUACAGAACACCGAUUGCGAAGGCAGCUUACCAAUCUAUAUCUGACGUUGAGGCACGAAAGCGUGGGGAGCAAACAGGAUUAGAUACCCCAGUAGUC
rnacentral:rRNA from 1 species